rnacentral:rRNA from 1 species
GACGAACGCUGGCGGCGUGCUUAACACAUGCAAGUCGAACGGAAAGGCCCUGCUUUUUUGGGGUGCUCGAGUGGCGAACGGAUGAGUAACAUGUGAGUAACCUGCCCUUGACUUUGGGAUAACUUCAGGACACUGGGGCUAAUACCGGAUAGGAGCUCCUGCUGCAUGGUGGGGGUUGGACAGUUUCGGCGGUUGGGGAUGGACUCGCGGCUUAUCAGCUUGUUGGUGGGGUAGUGGCUUACCAAGGCUUUGACGGGUAGCCGGCCUGAGAGGGUGACCGGCCACAUUGGGACUGAGAUACGGCCCAGACUCCUACGGGAGGCAGCAGUGGGGAAUAUUGCACAAUGGGCGGAAGCCGGAUGCAGCAACGCCGCGUGCGGGAUGACGGCCUUCGGGUUGUAAACCGCUUUCGCCUGUGACGAAGCGUGAGUGACGGUAAUGGGUAAAGAAGCACCGGCUAACUACGUG